ACUGUGACAAAAUCUUCUAUAUCCUUAAAUGAACUAAAAAUGAAACGUUUUUUCUCUUUUCUCCAAAUAUAUAUUGAGACAAAAUCUCCUACUUUUACAUAUAUUUUUAAUUCUUGAAAUAACCAAGCAGGAUGAACUAGAAGCAAUAAUAUAUGAGGGUCAGUAUGAUAUAGUUGCCAUUCCAAAAAUUUGGUGGGGUGAAACUCAUGACUGGAAUGCAUUGAUGGAUAGAUACAAAUUGUUCAAAAGAAACAGAUCUACAAAAAGAGGAAGUGGAGUUGCACUAUAUUAAUAAUAACAGCAAUAACAAUUCAAUUUCAGGGAAUCAAUAUUUCAAGUGUUUUCACUAUCUUGAAGCAGGACAUUCUGAUUCGUAUUUUAAGG